CCUACGGGCCGCACCAGUGGGGAAUAUUGGACAAUGGGCGCAAGCCUGAUCCAGCCAUGCCGCGUGAGUGAAGAAGGCCUUAGGGUUGUAAAGCUCUUUCACCGGUGAAGAUGAUGACGGUAACCGGAGAAGAAGCCCCGGCUAACUUCGUGCCAGCAGCCGCGGUAAUACGAAGGGGGCUAGCGUUGUUCGAAAUUACUGGGCGUAAAGCGCGCGUAGGCGGAUAGAUAAGUCAGAGGUGAAAUCCCGGGGCCCAACCCCGGAAUUGCCUUUGAUACUGUUUAUCUUGAGUGCAGAAGAGGUAAGUGGAAUUCCGAGUGUAGAGGUGAAAUUCGUAGAUAUUCGGAGGAACACCAGUGGCGAAGGCGGCUUACUGGUCUGCAACUGACGCUGAGGCGCGAAAGCGUGGG
rnacentral:rRNA from 1 species